rnacentral:rRNA from 1 species
ACACUCCUGCGGGAGGCAGCAGUGGGGAAUAUUGGACAAUGGGCGCAAGCCUGAUCCAGCCAUGCCGCGUGAGUGAUGAAGGCCCUAGGGUUGUAAAGCUCUUUCACCGGAGAAGAUAAUGACGGUAUCCGGAGAAGAAGCCCCGGCUAACUUCGUGCCAGCAGCCGCGGUAAUACGAAGGGGGCUAGCGUUGUUCGGAAUUACUGGGCGUAAAGCGCACGUAGGCGGAUCGAUCAGUCAGGGGUGAAAUCCCAGGGCUCAACCCUGGAACUGCCUUUGAUACUGUCGAUCUGGAGUAUGGAAGAGGUGAGUGGAAUUCCGAGUGUAGAGGUGAAAUUCGUAGAUAUUCGGAGGAACACCAGUGGCGAAGGCGGCUCACUGGUCCAUUACUGACGCUGAGGUGCGAAAGCGUGGGGAGCAAACAGGAUUAGAAACCCGAGUAGUCCCAUG